UGGGGGCCAAAGUAAGUCCCAGGAGGUUUCUGUGGGGUGAAAAAAGGUAUUUUAGGGUAUUAAAAGACAUUUUGGGGUGAUUUGGGGGGUGACUUGAGGCUUCUGGAGCCUCAGGGCUCACAUGGAUUUUUCCCACAAAAGAACAGGUUUUAGUGGUUUUUGGUGUUUUUUUACAGGGGUGGCACAAGACGGGAUCUGAUGGCUCCUCCUUCCCUUCUGUGCACUCUCCAGUGCCAGCUACCGGGGCUGGGAGUUCCAUGCUGUGAUCCCACAGAACGACAACGAGUCCCCCAGCACGUACCUGCAGCUGCUGCUCGCCUUCUAUGGCCCUGCUGACACCCAGGUGUCGGGGAUGCUCUGUGGCAGCUCCAUCACCCAGAACACCACCCUGAGACCAGAUGUCACUGUGCCCUUGCCCUUUCCUGCUACCCUGGAACUCACUGGAAGCCACACUUCCCAUAAAACCUUGGUGAUUGAGGCCAGUGCUGACAUCUCUGUGACGUCUGUCAGUACCAAUGGCUACACUGUGGAUGCCAUUGCCUUCCUACCUAUGGAGAGCCUGGGCAUCAGUCCCCACAGCAGUCUCCUGUGAGGAUUUGGUAUGCGAGAGGUGUGAGAUGGUGGAUGGACAACCAGAGUGCAUCCAGGAGACUUUCUCCACCUGUUGGCUCACUGGUGGGCCACACUACUGCAGUUUUGAUGAAAAACCUUUGAUUUCAUGGGAUCGCGGGCCUACACCAUGACCACCAUCUGCAAUCCUGAUCCCACCCUUCCUACUUCCUCUGUUGAGGUCAAAAAGGAGGAAAAAGGAGAACUCCAAAGUUUCCUCCAUUGGCUCCAUCACCAUCCAAGUCAACAACGUCACUGUCACUGCUGUCCAGUCAGAGAAUGGUAUGGUGAGGGUGAGCAACCACCGCUUGUGCCUCCCCAUUUUCCUCUGCCACAGGAAGGUCUGCAUCCACCAGAAGGGUAAAUCCAUGUUGAUUCAAUCAAAUUUCAAGCUGAAGGUCCUCUACAGCUGGGAUGAUCGUGUAGUGAUCAAACUUCCGGCUGCUCUUUCUAGAAAAGUCUGCGAAAUGUGUGGGAAAAACAAUGGGGAUCCCCAAGAUGACACUCUCUCUCCUGAUGGAAAACAAAUGUGAGAUACUGUGGAGUUUGGGUGGAGCUGGAAGGCGACCAGUGAGAGUGGCCACUGCCAGGACACCUGUGAUGGUGACUGUGGGCGGUGCAGAUGGGACCAGGUGGUGACAUACAAGGCAGAGACCUGGUGUGGGAAGUUGUCCCAACAUUCUGGGCCAUUCCAGUCGUGUCAUGACACUAUCAGUCCCAAUAUCUAUGUGAAGAACUGUAUCUAUGACCUGUGUGCCAAUGAGGGGCAUCGCAAUGUGCUGUGCUAUGCCUUCAAGAACUAUGCUGAUGACUGCCAGGAGAAGAGGAUCAAUGUUUCCCAUUGGAGGAAAGAGUUGGAAUGUUGUGAAUAGAGGAUGGUUGAGUGAAAAUACUCCUUGGGGUGGGUGGAGGCUAAUUGAUGUGGGACUAAAGACCCAUGGGAUCAUGGGUUGAGAAAGACCAUGGCAGAAGAUCCAAGCAGGAAAUCCAUGGAACUCCAAGGAGAUUCCAGAAAGUCCAUGUAGAAAGUCCACAAAGUUGGUGGAGUCUCUAGAAAGUCUGAGCAGGAAGUCUGCCGAGACUCCAGAAAGUCCAGGUAGAAGGCCUAGAAGGUCCAUGGAGACUACAUAAAAUCCAUGGAAUCUGCAGGGUAUCUGUGCAGAUAGUCAAAGUAGUCUGUCCCACUAUGUACUGCCCCACCUUGACCGCUGUCUCCCUCCCUGUCCAGCUCUCAUUUGCCCGCCCUACAGCACCUGAGGCCUUGCCUGCCUCCCUACCUGCAACAUCCCUGCUGUGUCAUCCAGCUGUGCCGCUGUCAGCACCUGCGUGGACACCUCCAUGUGCCACGAGGGCCUUGUCCUUGAUGCCGACACCUGAAUCGCCCCUUCUGAAUGUGGUUGUGU